rnacentral:rRNA from 1 species
GACGAACGCUGGCGGCGUGCCUAAUACAUGCAAGUCGAACGAAGCUUUUUUAACUGGUGCUUGCACCGACUUAAACAACUGAGUGGCGAACGGGUGAGUAACACGUGGGUAACCUGCCCCAAAGCGGGGGAUAACAUUUGGAAACAGAUGCUAAUACCGCAUAACCACAGAAGCCACAUGGUUUCUGUGUCAAAGAUGGUUUCGGCUAUCACUUUGGGAUGGACCCGCGGCGUAUUAGUUAGUUGGUAAGGUAAUGGCUUACCAAGGCAAUGGUCCGUAGCCGAACUGAGAGGUUGAUCGGCCACAUUGUGACUGAGACACGGCCCAAACUCCUACGGGAGGCAGCAGUAGGGAAUCUUCCACAAUGGACGAAAGUCUGAUUGAGCAACGCCGCGUGAGUGAAGAAGGUUUUCGGAUCGUAAAACUCUGUUGUCAGAGAAGAACGUGUGCGAGAGUAACUGUUCGUGCAGUGACGGUAUCUGGCCAGAAAGCCACGGCUAACUACGUACCAGCCGCCGCCGUAA